rfam:Pontibacillus marinus BH030004 = DSM 16465 strain BH030004 contig13, whole genome shotgun sequence.
GGAUAAGGAUGAUCGGUUAAGUUCGUCACGUCCUGUGACAACACCGAUCUGACCUACGUCCUGUAGG